GUGGGGAAUUUUGCGCAAUGGGGGAAACCCUGACGCAGCGACGCCGCGUGGAGGACGAAGGCCUUCGGGUUGUAAACUUCUUUUCUGGGGGAAGAUAGUGACGGUACCCCAGGAAUAAGCCACGGCUAACUCUGUGCCAGCAGCCGCGGUAAGACAGAGGUGGCAAGCGUUGUUCGGAAUUACUGGGCUUAAAGGGCGCGUAGGCGGUAGGGCAAGUCCGUGGUGGAAGCCUACGGCUUAACCGUAGAAUUGCCAUGGAAACUGCUUUACUUGAGUCAGUGAGGGGAGGGCGGAAUUCCUGGUGUAGCAGUGAAAUGCGUAGAUAUCAGGAGGAAGGCCGGUGGCGAAGGCGGCCCUCUGGCGCUUGACUGACGCUGAGGCGCGAAAGCGUGGGGAGCAAACAGGAUUAGAUACCCGGGUAGUCC
rnacentral:rRNA from 1 species